rnacentral:rRNA from 1 species
GAAAAGGCUUAAAUAAACUAAAAAGACGAUAAGACCCUAUAAAUCUUGACGGUAAAAUUAAUUCUUUUUUAAUUUGUUAGUUUAAAGAAAUAAUUUAAUUAUACGUUUGGUUGGGGCGACAUAAAUAUAAAAUAGUUAACUGUUUAAGUAUUAAAACAAUGAUUGUUGAAUAAAUAAUGAUCCUGUUGUAGAGAUUAAAAGACUAAGUUACUUUAGGGAUAACAGCGUUAUUCUUUUUGAGAGUUCUUAUUAAAAAAAGAGUUUGCGACCUCGAUGUUGAAUUAAAAGUUCUUUAUGGUGCAGCAGCUAUAUAAGAAAGUCUGUUCGACUUUUAAACUUUUACAUGAUUU